rnacentral:rRNA from 1 species
UACGGAGGGAGCUAGCGUUGUUCGGAAUUAUUGGGCGUAAAGCGCACGUAGGCGGCUUUGUAAGUCGGAUGUGAAAUCCCUCGGCUUAACCAAGGAAGUGCAUCCGAAACUGCAAGGCUUGAGUACUUAAGAGGAUCGCGGAAUUCCCGGUGUAGAGGUGAAAUUCGUAGAUAUCGGGAGGAACACCAGUGGCGAAGGCGG